rnacentral:rRNA from 1 species
UACAGAGGGUGCAAGCGUUAAUCGGAAUUACUGGGCGUAAAGCGUGCGUAGACGGUUGCGUAAGUCAGAUGUGGAAGCCCCGGGCUCAACCUGGGAAUUGCAUUUGAGACUGCGUAGCUAGGGUGCGGAAGAGGGAAGCGGAAUUUCCGGUGUAGCGGUGAAAUGCGUAGAUAUCGGAAGGAACACCAGUGGCGAAAGCGGCUUCCUGGUCCAGCACCGACGUUCAGGCACGAAAGCGUGGGGAGCAAACAGG